CCCUUAGAUGUUCUGGGCCGCACGCGCGCUACACUGACGAAUGCAACGAGCUUAUAACCUUGGACGAAAGGUCUGGGUAAUCUCCAAAUUUCGUCGUGAUGGGGAUAGAUUAUUGCAAUUAUUAAUCUUCAACGAGGAAUGCCUAGUAAGCGCAAGUCAUCAGCUUGCGUUGAUUACGUCCCUGCCCUUUGUACACACCGCCCGUCGCUCCUACCGAUUGAAUGGUCCGGUGAAGCGUUCGGACCGUGGCCUUUGGACGGUUCGCCGUCUGUUGGCUGCGGGAAGUUCGUUAAACCUUAUCAUUUAGAGGAAGGAGAANUCGUANCA
rnacentral:rRNA from 1 species